CACACCUGGGGCCUUUCUCCCCAUCACCCAUUCCAGCAGCCCUGCCCUCACAAUAUGACAGCUGCUCUUAUAAAACCCCAUUUCCCUCUUUGUUUCUUUUUACUGGUGCAGCCACAGAACUCUAACAGACGUUGCCAAAUCUUGUGUAACUCAUGACACUCCCAGCCUCCUACACACACCUUCCAAAAUAUCCAGAGACUGCAGUAACACAUGCAAUGAAGAAACCAAACUUCCUUUUUUACAUGCUAUUUCAGAACAAUGGACUGGAUGCACUUCUGGGACAAACCAAAACUUGUCCCCAAAACAACAAAGCCAGGGCUACAAAUGAAACAAAAUGAGACCUGGACUGCCACUCAGAAAGGUGCUGGUUUGAGAAUGGACCAGCCUUUACUUUUAAAGCUCGGAAAGAAGGGAAUUUGGCAACACUAAUGCCAAAAGACAGUUCACAGAUCUGUUCUGAAAAGCACUUCUUCAUACUACCUCCUUCUUCUGGAUCGCUCAGCUCCUAGGGGGGUGGGAGGCCCACAGUCAAAAUAUCCCUACUCAAAAAACAUCUGGAGCAUGAAGAUAAGCAGAGACAUGCUUACAUGCCACUGCUGACUGGAAACCACUGCUCAAUUUAGCAAAGCAAUUAAGGACAUGAUUAUUCAGAAGUGAACUUAUAUCCGAACCAUCUGAACCCUCCUUAUGCUCAUCGUUAAAUAGAUCCUUAAGAAGUUACGUGAAAGAAGUCAUAUGGAAGUGUUUUUUUA